ensembl:lincRNA
AGGAGGGAGACAGACUUUUUUGAGGCUUGCACUUGUAGGCUGAUCUGAAGUGGACAUUUGAUCCCUUUCAGAAUUCUAGUCCUGCUGACCUUCUGCUCUGCUUUUGAGCCCCAAGUCCAAGGUGCAAGUGAGAAGCAGCGAAGAAGGUCUGGAGGUGGCUCCCUGACUUACCUUUUCAUCAGAAGAGGGGACAGUAGGACAGAACUCCUCAGGCCUCCCAGAUCCAGCCCUCAACUCUUGUGACCUUAUCCCAGAAAAAAGAAGAGAACAAGAGGAGGAGGAGGAAGAGGAGGAGGAGGAGGAGGAAGAGGAGGAAGAAGAAGAGGAGGAGGAGGAAGAGGAAGGGGAGGAAGAGGAGGAAGAGGAGGAAGAAAAGGAGGAGGAAGAGGAGGAAGAUGAUGAGGAAGAUGAGGAGGAGGAAGAGGAGGAGGUGGAAGAGGAAGAGGAAGAGGAGGAAGAGGA